rnacentral:rRNA from 1 species
GGAGUCUGGACCGUGUCUCAGUUCCAAUGUGGCCGUUCAUCCUCUCAGACCGGCUACUGAUCGUCGCCUUGGUAGGCCGUUGCCCCACCAACCAGCUAAUCAGACGCAGACCCAUCGCAAAGCGAUAGCUUACAAGUAGAGGCCAUCUUUAAUAUCAUCUCCAUGCGGAAACGAUACAACAUUCGGUAUUAGCAGUCCUUUCGGACUGUUGUCCCCAUCUUUGCGGCAGGUUGUCUACGCGUUACUCACCCGUUUGCCACUCGGCAUCAAAAUAGCAAGCUAAAUAUCAGCCUCGUUCGACUUGCAUGUGUUAAGCACGCCGCCAGCGUCGUCCUCGAGCCACGGAGUCAAACUACU